ACGAAUUGGGUCACAAAAAAUGUACAAAAAUUAACUCAAGUAAAUUAUUGAUACUGGCUUCCAGGGACUGUUAACAGUGACGUUAUAUAAAAAGCAGAUGAGCGGAGGUUAACCUCGAAAAUGUAUAGAGUUAAAAUUUAUGAUGGAAAUAAAACUUUUGAUCAUUUUAAUAAAGCAUACAACAAGUUAUUAUUGAAGAUUCAUCUAAUGAAACAGGUUAUGAAAAAAAUAUGACUUUAAGACAUAAACAAAAAGGAAAGCCUAUCUCACAAAAUAUAUUGUUUAAUGUAACUGAUGAAAGUGACAAUGACAAUGAUAUGAUAUAAUGGCUCAGUCAUCAUUUGCCACAUAGAUAUAGUCAAACCUUUGUUUAUAUAAUCAAAUAAUAAUACUCUAAUAGUUUCAAGUUUAAAAACAGAUAAUAGAAUGUCUUAUUUACCAUACAAAUCAACAUCUUCAGCUACAGUUACAUCAGCUGAAUCUGUAGCACCUUGUAGUUGGUUUUCAUUAACUGAAAAUGACAACCAUCAACAACUCUUUGAGUUAAUGCUUUCAGAAUCCAAAAGUAUUUGUUCUUCAACGGAAUUCUCA